CCUACGGGAGGCAGCAGUGAGGAAUAUUGGUCAAUGGGCGCAAGCCUGAACCAGCCAUGCCGCGCGCAGGACGACGGCCCUAUGGGUUGUAAACUGCUUUUGUACGGGAAGAAACACUGGUUCGUGAACCAGCUUGACGGUACUGUAAGAAUAAGGAUCGGCUAACUCCGUGCCAGCAGCCGCGGUAAUACGGAGGAUCCAAGCGUUAUCCGGAAUCAUUGGGUUUAAAGGGUGCGUAGGCGGGCUGAUAAGUCAGUGGUGAAAGCUCCGAGCUUAACUUGGAAACUGCCAUUGAUACUGCCAGUCUUGAAUGUCGUAGAGGUAAGCGGAAUGUUGCAUGUAGCGGUGAAAUGCUUAGAUAUGUUACAGAACACCAAUUGCGAAGGCAGCUUACUAUGCGAUGAUUGACGCUGAGGCACGAAAGCGUGGGGAGCAAACAGGAUUAGAUACCCUGGUAGUCCACGCCCUAAACGAUGAUUACUCGAUGUUGGCGAUACACUGUCAGCGUCUUAGCGAAAGCGUUAAGUAAUCCACCUGGGGAGUACGCUCGCAAGAGUGAAACUCAAAUGAAUUGACG
rnacentral:rRNA from 1 species